AGCGAACGCUGGCGGCAGGCCUAACACAUGCAAGUCGAACGAACUCUUCGGAGUUAGUGGCGGACGGGUGAGUAACACGUGGGAACGUGCCUUUAGGUUCGGAAUAACUCAGGGAAACUUGUGCUAAUACCGAAUGUGCCCUUCGGGGGAAAGAUUUAUCGCCUUUAGAGCGGCCCGCGUCUGAUUAGCUAGUUGGUGAGGUAAAGGCUCACCAAGGCGACGAUCAGUAGCUGGUCUGAGAGGAUGAUCAGCCACAUUGGGACUGAGACACGGCCCAAACUCGUACGGGAGGCAGCAGUGGGGAAUCUUGCGCAAUGGGCGAAAGCCUGACGCAGCCAUGCCGCGUGAAUGAUGAAGGUCUUAGGAUUGUAAAAUUCUUUCACCGGGGACGAUAAUGACGGUACCCGGAGAAGAAGCCCCGGCUAACUUCGUG
rnacentral:rRNA from 1 species